rnacentral:lncRNA from 1 species
UUAUUCUUCUACGAUUUUCUUCAAGGAUUGUGCCUCGUUUAUCCUUUUGCUUUAUAUUUUACAAAGGAGGUCUAAGACAUAGUGUGAGGGAAGGCUGCGAUAGAGUAGAGUAAAAGUUGGAUCUGUAGAAUCGAUCAUGAGAUCAAGUAAUUCCACGAGGGACUUGGUGCUCUACUUGAGCUAAGGCUAAUUAGAAUGUUUUAUAGUAUUUUAAUUUGAAAGAUGUGAAUCUUUAUUUCUUUAGGAAGUAAUAUUUUUAAACGAACUACAGUUUAUUCUUUUAAAGCUGUAUCUAAUACUUCACUUCUGGUCAGAUUGGAAAGCACGGGCGGACGUUGUGAAGCUUUUAAAGCAUCUAAAAAAAGAAUUAACUGUGCUAGUUGUCAGCCAUGACUUGAGGUUGUUUCAAUUUACUCUGUUAUUAAUUUUAGAUUAUCUAACUUCUUAUCAAAUUAUUGUUCAUUUUAUAUUAUAUACUUCCUCUGGUCUCAUAUAUAAGAAGAAAAAAUCAUCAAGAGAUUCAAGACCAAGGAGGCUCAUUUAAUGUUAUAAUUUCAAAAGCUUGUAUAUAAUUUUGGCAUUAAAUGUUUUUACACCCACUUAUAUAGAUAGUAGAUGCAUUUCUAGUAAAUAUAGAAAUGAUAUUAAAGUAAUUUUAGCAAUUUAUACACUUUAAAAUUUGUGACCUUUUUAUAUAAUUAGGACAAAAAACCAAAAUUUUCUUAAGCAUGGGACCAAAGUGAGUAUUACAUUUGUUUACAAGUUUAUCUUUUGAUUUAAUUUCUUGAUUUGUCCACAUCAUUCAAACUUUUUAACUACAAAUGUUACAAAGAAAUUGAAUUAAUGUGAGCUAAAUAAUGAUUUUGAUACAUUGACGAAUAACUAUUGAUGUAGAAUUUAUAUGGUGUUUGAUAGGUAACCCUUAGUACGUGGGUUAAUUAGGUUAAUCAGGGCGAUAGUUGAGUCCUUUAGAAUAAAUAAAUCAGAUGUUGCCAAUAAAUAGGAAGAAGGUUUGAGAUGGAGAGGGGAUCAAUUGGUGAGAUUAUAGUUUGGGUGAGUCCUAGAUCUCUUUAAUAUCUAGGAGUUUGUUCAAACAGUCAAUGAAGAAUUUCCUUUUCUAAUUAAGUUCCUAUACUAUUUAUGUGUGUAA